rnacentral:rRNA from 1 species
UGGGGAAUAUUGCACAAUGGGCGCAAGCCUGAUGCAGCCAUGCCGCGUGUAUGAAGAAGGCCUUCGGGUUGUAAAGUACUUUCAGCGAGGAGGAAGGCGUUGUGGUUAAUAACCGCAGCGAUUGACGUUACUCGCAGAAGAAGCACCGGCUAACUCCGUGCCAGCAGCCGCGGUAAUACGGAGGGUGCAAGCGUUAAUCGGAAUUACUGGGCGUAAAGCGCACGCAGGCGGUCUGUCAAGUCGGAUGUGAAAUCCCCGGGCUCAACCUGGGAACUGCAUCCGAAACUGGCAGGCUAGACUCUUGUAGAGGGGGGUAGAAUUCCAGGUGUAGCGGUGAAAUGCGUAGAGAUCUGGAGGAAUACCGGUGGCGAAGGCGGCCCCCUGGACAAAGACUGACGCUCAGGUGCGAAAGCGUGGGGAGCAAACA